CACACAACAAAAACACAAGUGAUCUCCUUUCAUCAUGGCACUCAAGAACAAUGCAGCAAGCAUGGGUGCGGUUCUGCUGGCUCUUAUGGUCAUGUCUAUCAUCAUGUCAUCAUCCUCUGUCUACGCACAUACAAAUGAAUCGCCCGUUGACCUUGUAGCUGAUGAAGGAGAAUGCUUCCAUCAGGAAAGCUGUGCUGCCCGUUGCGGGACUGUAUGCAGUGUCAGCGGCAAGCCUUCGGCUAAUGCCUACUGCAAGGAAGAUCAGUGUUGCUGCGCCUAGUUUUAUGCUUAUGUUAUUGCUUGAGCAAUAUUGAUGUAACCGUUUUCUAGCAAACAUAAUAUUAUUGUUCACGCAAAAAUUAUUAUCAAUCCGAUUAUGACAUGGGAUCCAUCUUU